AGUAAGGUACGACAACCUCUACAUAUCAGUUGAGCCAUUUCCAUUCCUGAAAGUUGUCGUAAAACUUAGGAAAUAUGUCCAUGACCAGAAAAAGAACAAAAUAUGUAAUAAACAUGCAAGGAUGUUAAACAAAUGCUUGCUUGGAAAUCAAUGUGCCUCCAAGAAAACAUAACUACUAGCAUACAUGAUAGAUUAAGACUGUACUCGCUCAAAUGUUCUCAAUCUUAGGUACUCCUAUAGCAAACAGCAUAUUUGACUCAUAAACUCGUGUAAUAUAGGAAAAAGGUCUUAUAUGCCAACCACUCUUGACCUGUUGAUUCAUUCACUAUAGAAAAGAAAUGCAUCCUUUGUAAAGGUUCAAAGCAGAAACAUGACUUAAUUCAUAGUAGCAACGUUAAGGAAUAUUUUGGAUCCUUAAAACAUACUUUACUAUGCACAGAACUUGUUUACGACAUCAGUGAAAGCUAUGAAACUAAAGGGAAGAUAUAUGGAAUAACAAUUACAAGCAUUCUGCCGAGCUUCAAACAAGCUGGCUUGACUAGAAACAGAAGAAAACAAGGAUAAUAGAAAAAUCUACAAAUAAGGUGCAAAAUAAUGGCAUGAAAUCAAAUACGAACGAAGUGCAGCUCCAACUGAGAACGAUGUGCAUCCAGAAUUUAUCAAGCCUGCAGGUAAAUUCUCCGCCUAAAUCUUCUAAAAUAUUCUCAACUUCUCCCAAACGGUAACAAACAAUCAACACAUGAAAAAAAACCCAGGAAGACAGAACAAACUGAAGCAAAACCAAAUCCACCAACACUCUGAACAAAUAGAAAAUCUCAAACUUCGCCUUUAAUCUGCAUUUAUCUUCUUACUUAACCUUGUCCAUUCAUGCAAUGACUGACUGCAGAGAACACUAAAAUUUGAUAGCUCAGAAUGUUCUUAACUUUCUGAUGUAAAAUAGCAGCACAUCUGAAAAGAAGAAGUGACAAUACCAGGUGGUGGAACAGCAGUAACUGAAUUACACAAUGCACAGCAAACAUUUGUAGCUCCUCUGGGAUAGAGGAGGACAGUCCUGCACCCACCGCACACUACUUGGCUCUGCAUAUCUGCAAACCCAAAAUUUAGUACAGACAAAUCAUAAGAACAACUGAAACUCCCUAUUCUUUUCCAAUUGAUUCACAUCAAAUUUCUACAUUCAGGAAUUUCACAUGACCACAAAAGUAGGCCAGAUAGACCGUGUAAACAACAUAAACCAAACAUCUCAAAUCCUCCAACGUUUCAAAUUAAUUCAAUUCCGUAGUAAUAAAUGCACAAAAAACAACCUUUUACUAUUUUUACCCAUUAAACAAAUCCAAAUAAAACCCAUGAAAAUUAUACGCACGACUGAAACAAGAACAUAUUAAAUUCAAUAAAGAAGAUUCACCAUUAUUUUAAACCCACGCCAAUACUGAUUAGCCGUAAAAAAAUCGUAAAACCAAAGCACUACAACUUUACAAUUUUAAAAAAUUCGCAUAAAACCAAUUACGAAAUUUCAACCCCUGAUAAAUUGAAAAAUUAUCAAAAGGAGAAUAUCUUACCCUAUGAAAUUACUAUUAACAGAAUUUUGAGGGGAUAAAUGGAAAUCGUAUCUGUAGGUUACUGUAAUUAUUAAAAAAAUACAAAUGCUUUGAUUUUUUUCCUAUGUGGAAUUGGGUUGGAUUGGAUUAAAUUCGGGGAUUAUAAAUGUUCACCUUCGGAAAUUGCAAAAACGACAGGGUUUUGGCUUUUUC
rnacentral:lncRNA from 1 species